UUACAGUCGUAACCUGACGUUUCUAAUGUUGUGUGCUAUUGAGUGAUCGUGCGUCUUUCACCCCGAGAAGUGUAUCUGCCUCAUCAGCACUCCUGAACUGAAUGAAAAUCCCAAAGCCACAACUCAUUUUCACUGCAAUUAUUUCACACAAAUUUCUUGGAGUAGCCUACUGGGGUGAUGGUGUGCAGUUGCUGAUGGGAUGCACAGAUUAAAUCGUAUCCUGAGAGAGGAUGACUGAAUGUGCAGUUAACAUGAGAUCCACUAGAGGGCCACAGGGGACCAUCUGGAAUCUACUGUAUACGAAUGAGAUGAGGAAGAAAAAUAUGAAAUGAAACUGGAGCUUGUGACUCCUGUAUGCUAAAUUUAAUAAUGGUGUAGUGUUUAGGGCAUACUGAAUAGUAUAGACUCUAUACCCCAGAAAAUAAGAAAGUGCUUUAUUGCCAAGUAUGCUUCCAUACAUAACGCUCCCAGUAACCAAGACAUAUAGUUAAAAAAAUAAAAAGAGGUAAGAAUAUAUAUAAAAAUAUGCAUACUGUACAGAAGAAAUAUAUUCUGUGAAUGUAGUACACAUUUUCACCUGUGUUAUGCUAUCUAAAUGUUUUGUAAUGAUACUAUAUACAGCAUUGUUGUCCUGUGACCUCAAUAUGCCCAUGUUUAAGUUUAUUGCUAAAAUAAAAUGUUGCAUGUUAGUCUAAUUUUGUUUUAAGUAUUUUCUAGUUGAAUAAAGUGUUAAGUCUGGAAAGCAUUACUCAUUCUCUGGUAGUUUCAUCUGGAAGUUCCCUGAACUGUAAAUAAAAGGUCAAGUGAAGCACAUGGCAUUCCGGGACAACAGUAUUCCAGUGGUUGCCAAUCUUUUCC